GACGAACGCUGGCGGCGUGCUUAACACAUGCAAGUCGAACGGAAAGGCCCUGCUUGCAGGGUACUCGAGUGGCGAACGGGUGAGUAACACGUGGGUGAUCUGCCCUGCACUUCGGGAUAAGCUUGGGCAACUGGGUCUAAUACCGGAUAGGAGCCAUCUUUAGUGUGGUGGUUGGAAAGUUUUUUCGGUGUAGGAUGAGCUCGCGGCCUAUCAGCUUGUUGGUGGGGUAAUGGCCUACCAAGGCGGCGACGGGUAGCCGGCCUGAGAGGGUGUACGGCCACAUGGGGACUGAGAUACGGCCCAGACUCCUACGGGAGGCAGCAGUGGGGAAUAUUGCACAAUGGGCGCAAGCCUGAUGCAGCGACGCCGCGUGGGGGAUGAAGGCCUUCGGGUUGUAAACUCCUUUCGCUAGGGACGAAGCUUUGUUGUGACGGUACCUAGAUAAGAAGCACCGGCUAACUACGUG
rnacentral:rRNA from 1 species